GGAUGCGAUCAUACAGCAUAAAGCACCGGAUCCAUCAGAACUGCAGUUAAGCGUGCUUGGCGAGAGUAGUACUAGAUGGGUGACCCCUGAAGCUCGUUGCAUCCU
rnacentral:rRNA from 1 species